GACGAACGCUGGCGGCGUGCUUAACACAUGCAAGUCGAACGGAAAGGCCCUGCUUUUGUGGGGUGCUCGAGUGGCGAACGGGUGAGUAACACGUGAGUAACCUGCCCUUGACUUUGGGAUAACUUCAGGAAACUGGGGCUAAUACCGGAUAGGAGCUCUUGCUGCAGGGUGGGGGUUGGAAAGUUUCGGCGGUUGGGGAUGGACUCGCGGCUUAUCAGGUUGUUGGUGGGGUAGUGGCUUACCAAGGCUUUGACGGGUAGCCGGCCUGGGCGGGUGACCGGCCCCGUUGGGCCUGGGCUGCGGCACAGCCUCCUAUCGGACGCGACGGUGGAGAAUGUUGCACAAUGGGCGGAAGCCUGAUGUGGCAACGCCGCGUGCGGGAUGACGGCCUUCGGGUUGUAAACCGCUUUCGCCUGUGCCGAAGCGUGAGUGACGGUAAUGGGUAAAGAAGCACCGGCUAACUACGUG
rnacentral:rRNA from 1 species